rnacentral:rRNA from 1 species
UGGGGGAUAUUGCACAAUGGGCGCAAGCCUGAUGCAGCGACGCCGCGUGGGGGAUGAAGGCCUUCGGGUUGUAAACUUCUUUUGCUCUGAACAAGGCGCACUUUGGGGUGUGUUGAGUGUAGGGGUUGAUUAGCGCCGGCUAACUACGUGCCAGCAGCCGCGGUAAUACGUAGGGCGCGAGCGUUGUCCGGAAUUAUUGGGCGUAAAGGGCUUGUAGGUGGCUGGUUGCGUCUGUCGUGAAAGCUCAUGGCUGAACUGUGGGUUUGCGGUGGGUACGGGCGGGCUUGAGUGCAGUAGGGGAGGCUGGAAGUCCUGGUGUAGCGGUGGAAUGCGCAGAUAUCAGGAGGAAUACCGGUGGCGAAGGCGGGUCUCUGGGCUGUUACUGACACUGAGGAGCGAAAGCAUGGGGAGCGAACAGG